rnacentral:rRNA from 1 species
UACGGAAGGCAGCAGUGGGGAAUAUUGGACAAUGGGCGAAAGCCUGAUCCAGCAAUGCCGCGUGAGUGAUGAAGGCCUUAGGGUUGUAAAGCUCUUUUACCCGGGAUGAUAAUGACAGUACCGGGAGAAUAAGCUCCGGCUAACUCCGUGCCAGCAGCCGCGGUAAUACGGAGGGAGCUAGCGUUGUUCGGAAUUACUGGGCGUAAAGCGCACGUAGGCGGCUUUGUAAGUUAGAGGUGAAAGCCCGGGGCUCAACCCCGGAACUGCCUUUGAUACUGCAUGGCUUGAAUCCAGGAGAGGUGAGUGGAAUUCCGAGUGUAGAGGUGAAAUUCGUAGAUAUUCGGAAGACACCAGUGGCGAAGGCGGCUCACUGGACUGGUAUUGACGCUGAGGGUGCGAAAGCGUGGGGAGCAAACAGGGAUUAGAUACCCGU